AGUGGCCCCGGUGGCUCCACCGCAGCGUCUGGCGCGCUGGGACCUGCACAGGCCGGAGAGAGCCGUAGGCAGGACCCCGGGACACCCUGGAAGCCAGGAAAUGACAGAGUUUCGCUCUGUCGCCCAGGCUGGAGUGCAGUGGGAAGAUCUCAGCUCACUGCAACCUUCGCCUUCCGGGUUCAAGCAAUUCUCCUGCCUCAGCCUCCUGAGUAACUGGGAUUACAGGCAUGCGCCGCCACGACCGGCUACUUUUUGUAUUUUUGGUAGAAACUGGGUUUCUCCAUGUUGGCCAGGUUGGUCUCAAACUCCAGACCUCAGGUGAUCCGCUCACCUCCGCCUCCCAAAAUGCUGGUAUUACAGACGUGAGCCACCGCGCCCGGCCUCUUGUUUGUGUACUUGUAACCUGAGAGGGAAACGGAGAAUAAGAACCUGACACUCUACGGUAAAAUUUUUUUUUUUUUUUGAGACAGAGUUUCGCUCUUAUUGCCCAGGCUGGAGUGCAAUGGCGCGAUCU
rnacentral:lncRNA from 1 species